CCUACGGGAGGCAGCAGUGAGGAAUAUUGGUCAAUGGACGCAAGUCUGAACCAGCCAUGCCGCGUGCAGGAAGACGGCUCUAUGAGUUGUAAACUGCUUUUGUACGAGGGUAAACGCAGAUACGCGUAUCUGUCUGAAAGUAUCGUACGAAUAAGGAUCGGCUAACUCCGUGCCAGCAGCCGCGGUAAUACGGAGGAUUCAAGCGUUAUCCGGAUUUAUUGGGUUUAAAGGGUGCGUAGGCGGUCGGAUAAGUUAGAGGUGAAAUCCCGAGGCUCAACUUCGGAAUUGCCUGUGAUACUGUUCGGUGAGAGAGUAGUGGCGGUAGGCGGAAUGUAUGGGGUAGCGGUGAAAUGCUUAGAGAUCAUAAAGAACACCGAUUGCGAAGGCAGCUUACCAGGCUACUUCGGACGUUGAGGCACGAAAGCGUGGGGAGAAAACAGGAUUAGAUACCCUAGUAGUC
rnacentral:rRNA from 1 species